UACUUGACCCCGGGGUCCAAGCUUAGCGUGUCAAAACAAUACCAGGACGAGCCGGGCCUCCCCAGCGCGAACAGAGGAACACAAAUAGUAACGUCUCGAAAGCCGCCACUACAGAGAAGAAGGGAAACUGAAGGAGGAGGGAAAAACAGCAGGACGGAGGAGAGGUGGAAAUGGGUGGCGGCCAGGAAGCGGGACUUUUCCUGCCCUAAUCACAAGUCAGAGAGUGUUUCCUUUCAUUGUAGGCGCUGCAGAUCCAUUAACCAGUGAGACCCCUGUGCUAACACACACACACACACAUACACAAACACCACUAUGCACACAUCCUUAUGUAAGAAAAGUGUCAUAGACGUAUCUUUUACAGACAUAACAUAUAUGAACCGUGACACAAUCAAACAUCAUAUGUGGGCUUGUUGAUUGACACACUGAGCCACUCGCACUCAUGUUUCCCAGACACACACACACACACACACACACUGAGUCACAGGAUCGUAGAUCCUACUUGGCCGGUCCCGGCGCAUUGUGCGGCCCUUUGGCUCCGCUCUGAUAAACACUUCAUUAUGAAACCCUGAGGACACAGUAAAUAUUUGCCGAGGGCCGUUAUCAUCCGGCCUUAUCUUGGCGUGAACUCUCUGGCACCGCAUGACUCCUGCGCUCUUUAUUUUCUUAAAGGCUUUUCCACCGCUGUCAACUCUGCAGAACAGCCUGAAGAAAACAGUUCCCCUCAGAAUGGGCCGUGGAAAAAAACGCGGCCCACCAGAACAACAGGAAAACAGCGGCCGCGGGCUCUGGAGUUGGUCCGGACGCGGCCGAGCGUAUCGCCCGUCGGCGCCGUGCGUCGUCCCGCCGCAGGUGCCGUUUUAACUGCUCAGGGGACUGAUAGCAGAAACACAUUUACAGCUGCGGAGUUAAUCAGUUGUGGAUCGAUGUCUGGUGUCGAGUUUCGCACAAGGAUGCAUUCACGCGGCCCGUCUGACAUCAGAGUGCGCGGCGAGAUCAGUCGCCACGACGGCCCUCUGAAGGUCCGGCCGUGGAAGAUGAAUGAGCGAAGCCGCGCGGAGGACCGUGCAGAUGGGAUGGAUUCCGCCCGGCCAAUGACACAUCGGUCCAGCUCAGGUCACACAUUCACAUGGCAGCCGCACGAUAUCCGCAGGAAGCCGCUUCGAUGAACCCGUCCGGGGAGCGGGCAACUCGUCCCAAAGCUGGCUGAUGCAUCAAGACCCUGAACGCUAAAGGAGGAGGCCUUAUUCCGGACGUCCCUUCCUUCAGACGUUGCCGACGCAUCGGCCAUCGGCCUCCGUCCAGAGCAGAACAUCACAGAUGAUGUCAUACUCCAUGGGGGAUUCGGGGCUGAGGUUUUGGUGGAGCGUGGAUGUGUGUCUGUGUCGACCUCCGGUUGCGUUCUUCUUUGGUUUGACAGACGAGGCCUCACGGACACUUUCGCGCCGUUUGCUCCACUGGAGAGGAGCUGUGGUGUGUGAUGGGUUUACUGAGCAACUAGACCACAGCGGUGUGUGUUUUCAGGCCUGGCACCUGUUGCACCUUCCACGGUGCAGGAAAUCACAGCCGGACAGUCUGUUAUUUUGAAAAUGUUUUUUAUUGGGAGAACUACAAAAUAAAUGUACAGCACAAAGUUAACAGUAUCACACUUGAUUUGUAGUGAACUGACUCCCCGAAAAAUAAAAUUACAAAAAGAAAUUACAACUUGUCUUUAUCCGUUGUUACAUUCAAAAAGCUUUACUUCUGAUAAAGUAGUCAAAAGUACAUAGUGCGCUUUCCCCCCUGUACCUACUAUGUACAAAACCAACCUUGCUCAUCCACUUCCCUCUCCAGCAAACUCCAGACUCAACUAGAUUUCAAUAGAAGAAAGAACAUAAGAGCCAAAAGGAAAUCAAAUAAGAGGAAUGGGGAUUUAGAGAGAUUACGGUUGUUUUUGUCAGGGUCUGAGUGGUAACAACCUUUAUAAAAAGUUUGAGUCCAACACUACAUUCAGUUCAACCGGUGUAUAGAAGAUGCCAUUUAGGAAAAAUACUUUAUUUGGUUAAUUUUAAGGCAUGUCAAGAUGGUGACCCCAUAUAGGCACUACACAAUAAUACUGGGGCACGAGGGAUUGCUACAUUCUUUAGCACGUGGCUGGAAUCACAGUGUGACCUCAUGCGAACAGAAAACGGAAAAAAAUUGAAAUACUUUUUGGUUAAUUUAUUGACUUGGGUUCUGUCACUGAAGUAUGAUCUAGAUCGACAAAAAUAAGUAAGGUUUGGACGGUCUGUACAACCACAUUGUUUAUACAUUCUACGGAAACGUCUAAAUAAGGAUCCUCCAAAAAAACAAAAAAAGUCAUCUACAGCACUGACACACAACCUUGGGAGCAAACGGCAAUCACGCAAACUUUUUAAUAAAACGUAAACAGGGAAACAAAAUUAAUGAAAUAAAUAUCACAGACGUUCUUAAAUUAAGAUUUUUUUUAACUCAUUUACAAUAAAAAAUAACCAAGUGAAGUUACAAAAAAAAGAGAAAAACAAAAUAUAUAACAAUAUAUAUUACUGUGAAAAGAACAUACACUCCACUUUAUGCAGAUUAAUAAUGGCGACCAUAAUUUAAACAUAAAAGAAUAUAGAUCUAUUGCUUCAUCAUACUUGAUAAAUACAGUAUGGACACAAAUUACCAAUGUAGCCUAUACGUUUUCACAAGAUAAUAAAUAAGUUAAAUAGUCCAUAGCCAGUUAUGCACAGCUAUGUAUAUCACUCAAAACAGCUAAAAAAAUAUAUAUAUGUAUUCAACCAUCAGCAGUGAUUUCCCCAAACAAACCCAACUCAAGAGUGCUUUUUAUCCAAGCAACGAACUAGACCAACCAACCAAACCACUGGGUGGCGCUGGGAAAGGACAUAUCUGGAAUGGAAGUUGAAGCUUUCAGAAAAGAAGAAACACUUUGAUAAAAAGAAGGAAAAAAACACAUGUUACUUUGAGUCAAGGCAUAUUCUUGGCAGGAAGGGAGGAAAUCUGAAAACCGCCAACAGUCUCUUCUUCUUGUCAAGUCAUGUUAACCCACACAUCUAAUCCCAGGAAAACAGUGGGGCCUGCCUGAUAGAGCAAAAACAGGGGAGAGGGGCUGCCAUGAAGCCCUCGGGCAAGGCACUGAUGGAAUGCCUUCUGUUUGCUAUCUACGUUUUAAUACAGCUAUAUUACAUACAUGAAGAAGGAAAAAAACAAAAGCUAAACUAAUGCCAGGCCAAGGACACUUAAAUGUCUGAUGCUGUACUGAUCCCUGCGGGCGCAGUUCUCUACUCUUGCCCCCCCUCCAGGGAGGUCAGGUUAGGGAUUCAAUGUCUUACUCAAAGGCACUUCGGCAGGGCGGUUGCUUAACCGGAGUCCUCUGCUUGGAGGACAGCCUACGUCACUCACAGACCAACCCUGCCAGACCAGUCCAUAAAUCCAUAUGCAAGAAAAA
ensembl:lncRNA